UUAUCAGAUAGGGCUUGAAACAUAAGCAAGAAAAAUAUAUACAGCCGGAGAAGUUUGUUCGGUUGCCUCUUCUUCAUUAAGCAUGUCUUCCACUUCAUCUGUCUCCACCUGAAUAUAACGAUACGUAUAUGUAUACCUGUGCUUAACGAGAAAAUUAACUGAUCGUAACGUACUUCUUCAACAUCUGGUAAGUCAUCUUCAUCUUGAUCGACAUCACUGCCUUCUCGUCCAUCCUAUCGUCCAUCCUAUCAUCAGUGUCAAUUUCAAUUUAUGAGUCUAAGUAAGUAGAAGCGUAGCUUUCUUUAAAUGUACAGUGUAAAUGUACAGUGCAACCAUCCAAAAGUGGUGGCAACAAUACUAUAAUUUUAAAGUACAACACAGCAGAAUAUGAUAUGAUCAGGAGAAUGUAUUGGUAGUAUGUCACAUUUUCACAGCAAUGUUCAAAGCCUGCCUGACAGUCAGUAAACUAGCUACCAGACUAGCUUCAAAUAAUUAUGCUGAUACAGCAUUCAGGAUAUGUCACAUGAACACAUGAAGUCAAGCUUAGAAAGGCGCCUGUACUUCUGUACUGUAGCUCGUGUACUGUAGCUCGCUGCUUUGCUGGUCACUACACAAAAGAAAGAAGGUCGACAUCAAUGUUGCAAGAGGAAGCUUACUGCAGAUCAAGUGGCCUCACAGCUGACCUAUGACCACGGGUGUACCCAGGCAGUUGAUCAGAACAAGAGGGCAGUAUCGUCCCAAUCAGAGUGGUUCCUUCCAGAUGAGUUGAACUCACUUUCUAGUGAUAGCGUUACUCAACUUCGUGCACUACGCCUGGGCACCCAAUGCAAAGCACACCUUUGAGCGAAGGAUGGAUGCCGACUGGUGCUGAAAAACCAAAAAGAUAUGCAGACACGAGAAAGAACUGACUACUCUACCGAAAGAGAUGACCAGCAGCAGUGCUCGGAUAUGCCGAGAGUUAACGAUCAACUUUAGAGAUCAACUUUAGACUACAAACUACUAAGCGUGUGAAAACAUCACCAGAUUGCUAAAGAAUAAGUCAAAGCGGCAGUGCAGCGAAAAUAUGAGAAUCUGCGAAGAACAUGGGACAUUCGUCAGAGCAAGGAAAGAAUAUCGGGCACGUCGCAAAAGGGUAGUAUGUUUCAGUGUGAAAAAGCUGCUAUCUGUGUUUUACAGAAACAUGAGAAUCGGGUCAAGCCGAAGACAUAUGUGUGGAUGAUAUAGAUGAUAUGUCUGAGGAGUCCGAUGAUCUGUGUAAUCCGAACAAUUUGAUAGUCCAUCAGCUGAAGUGGUGCUCACAGGGUAAGUGUAUUUACUAUCCAUUUACCCACACAGCUACACUGAAAAAUCCAAGUGCAAGGAAGAACCGCAUAGAAAGUGAUCCCUCAAACAGCCAGCCAUCCACGUCCUAACGUUGGAUCCUACAUGGGAAAAUGGUAAGUUUCAAAUACAACGUUGGAUGUACCCAGAAUCAGAACACUUGAAACCAAAAUUAAUGGACUUGAAAAUGGACAUACCAAUCAUUAGUAAAUCUCAUAUUCAUCAUCACUUAUCAUCCCAUUCAAUUGACUUCAAUUGUUGACACUUUGUUGAGUUGAAAAUCACUUUGCUCCGAAUUAAAGUCAUGUGCUGCUAUAAUUAUAAUUAUAACUCAUAUAAACAAACUCAUAUAAACAAGAAGUGUCCCAUGUAUACCAGGGUUGCAAACAAGGCAUAAGCAAAUUGCACACAACAGUGAUCAAGGCAUGUGCAACUUGGAUA